rnacentral:sRNA from 1 species
AGGCGUAGUUAGCCUGCAUUAAUGCCAACUUUUAGCGCACGGCUCUAUCCCAAGAGCCAUUUCCCUGGACCGAAUACAGGAAUCGUAUUCGGUCUCUUUUU